AAAAUUAUCUUCAGCACGCAGGGAUUCAGAGAGAGAGAGGGAGAGAGAGUGGAAAGACCAGAUAAAAAGGAUAUAUUUUUCACAGUGAUAUAGCAAACAGCACCAAUUUUUUGUUCGCUGAUCAUGUCGGACAGUCAAGCACAGGAAACUGCCACAGCGGCGCCCACAGACUCCACAGUCGCUGCCCCUGCUGGGUGCCAAGCGAUUAAAACCGAAAUGGAGAAAUGCAUUAAGGACAAAGGGGAAGAGAGCUGUAAAGAUUUAAUCGAGGCGUACAAGGCCUGUUUAAAAUCCCUGGGAGAGAAAGCAUAAAACUCGGGCUGUAUGGAUCACUCUCUGGGUCCCCCUGCUCUGAAACCUCCACCUUCCCAUCAUUCCUCAGCUACUUUACUGCACUGGAUCGGACCAUCCCAUGUUGUGUAAAGAAACAGGGAAGGGGGGCGGGGGGGGGUACAUCUGUCUACCCGUCUACUCAC